GCUCUAACUUAACCAAGAUAAGUAAAUAGGUGUAAAUAGGAAAGAUGGUAGAAUCGAAUAAGAACAAUACUAAAGGUAAGAUAACAGUGAGUGAUAAUAUGGGAAUAGAGAAUAGAGCAAUUCUAGUAUAUGGGCGAUGGUAGCAGAAUAGAGAGAAUAACUAUGGUUUCUCUACUUCAAAGGGGUAUGUCUAUGUCUGGGACGAACCACGUGAUAAGAGUACACCACAAAGGAUGCUUAUCCUUAGGCCGAUAAACCCUACCUGUCCUGCUAACGAGAGGUGGACUACAGAGGACCAACGUCACUGUCACCUACGCGGCCUACCACACGAUCCAGCUAGACAGGGGAUAUCCACAAGUAAUCU
rnacentral:lncRNA from 1 species